rnacentral:tRNA from 1 species
AUAGGUAUGCUGGAAUUGGUAGACAGGUCUCGCUUAGAACGAGGUGGAUUUCCCAUGUAAGUUCAAGUCUUACUAUCUAUA